rnacentral:lncRNA from 1 species
UCGUGCUGGUUGACGAGCAACGGAGGAAAGCCCACUUACGAGCCACCGUUGUACCUGUCACAGUGUCACCUCAGCUUAGUGUUUAGCACCACCUCGCUAAUCCACACUCCACAACAUCAGCUUAAAUACUCGUCCGGACCACCCACUCUCGCCGAGCUCAGUAGCGUGAGCUUGUAACCCGAGUGGGGGCAUUAAGGUGGUGAGGAUGCUUAGAACUGGCUUCUGGGCUUGGGCCUGUGAUGUGCCUUUGCUGGCCUGCCCAUCCCAAGUUGGUAGUGCUUGGUGGGGCUCUAGUGAAGGCUUGGGCCUCCCUAAACCUAAAGUGGCAGGAAUGGCGUGAGGCUGGCUUCACAGAGCAGCGAUAACUGCCCGUUUCCAACGGUGGGAGGAUAACAGGCCGCUGCAUCAAGAGUCCAACUUAGUCCUAGAGCCUCUCUAUAGUAGACCAUCACUUUUUUUUAUCAGCUUAACUCCUUUUCUUACUAUUUUAAUCACUUUUUUUUAUCGGGUUAACUCCUUUUCUUACUAUUUUAAUAUCUAUUUCUUAGCAGGCUUAAAAGCAUCAGUCCUAUUCAUGAAAAGGGUAGGCAGGGUCAUGUGCUUCAGUGGAAGUGCAGACAGAAAUAUUUUCAGACUUCAGAUGAUCUCUAUAGUAGACCAUCACUUUUUUUUAUCAGUUUAACUUCUUUUCUUACUAUUUUAAUCAUUUUUUUAUCGGGUUAACUCCUUUUCUUACUAUUUUAAUCUCUAUUUCUUAGCAGGCUUAAAAGCAUCAGUCCUAUUCAUGAAAAGGGUAGGCAGGGUCAUGUGCUUCAGUGGAAGUGCAGACAGAAAUAUUUUCAGACUUCAGAUGACAGAUGAGCAAUACAGUAUGUCUGUGAUCCGCAAAGUUACAGUCUUCAGUAGCUGCCUGUUUUUGCCAAUGAGAAGAAACUAAAGAAACAGGAGGGAAGCAAGCAGUUCAUUCAUGUCAUGGAGGAAUAGCAGACUGGGAGUAUUCCUUCUCUUCUGUAACCAAGUGAAGGUGGUGUUUUUUUUUCUCAAUCACGCAAAAGGCUUGUGCGUAUUUUCAUUAAGGAGAAAGAAGUGAAGGUGGUGUUGGGUCAUGACGAAGGAGGCACACAAUGACUGAUGUCUCCGUCUCUCCGAGGUGAGUUCCUCGUUUAGUUUUCAGUUUUACCAAUCUGUUUCGUGCACCUCAUUUAGAUCUUUGCUUCUUCAAAUCGAUCCACACUGUGAAGCUAAACUAGUUGGACAAAAGCUAGAAUUCUGACGAACUUCAGUUUUUCUAGUGUUUCUUUCUGAACCACAUUUGCUUGUUAGGUGAAUAACCAUCAUUUGUCUACUAUUUCUGAACCACACUUGUCUAGAGUGUUUGUUUAGUUUCUGAACAAAAUUUGUUCUUUAGCAUUCAUUUGUUCGGUUAGCAAAGUAGCUCUUGACGUGGACACCAGUGGACCAUAACCAUUUGUCCAAACAAGUUUAGUAGCCAUAUGGGUUAGACUGUUAGAGUUAGACGGGGCUGCAUCUGCAACAAAUAUCUCCAAGCUGCAGGGCACAGUCGUCUCUGCCUGCCUACUCCCUCCUCCAGUGAAGAGAAUCCAACAAGCCAGCAGCCAUGGAUGGCGAGGAGGUUGGCAGGAGGGGUAUUCCUUCUCUGCUGAAGCCAUCUUCCUCCUCCGCCGAUGGCGGUGCUGGGGAACAAGAGCACAUCGCUUCUGACAUUACUCAGGUACGCCGCCGCCUCCACCAACCCCCCCCCCCCCCCCCCCCCUCCCUCCCUCUGCUGGUAGUGGUGAACUAAGUUGGAAUGAGAGAUUGACUGUUGUUGCGCAACAAUUUCCUCAGCUCAUAGGAUGGACACCACUGAUCGAACUGAAGCGAAUCACCAGCAAGGCUGGGAUUGAUGCGCGGAUCGUUGGCAAGAUGGAGGCUUACCAGCCGCUUUGCUCCAUCAAGGAUCGCUCUGCUUUGAGGUACCAUCUUUUCCUUUCCCCUUCUUUCUGUUUUCUUCUGAAGAAUGAUGCAAGAUGCACACCUGUUACUUCUGAAGAAUGAUAGAAGAUGCAGAGGAGAGGGGGUUGAUUUCACCUGGAGUCACAACACUAGUGGAGCCGACAAGUGGUAACAUGGGGUUAGGAUUGGUCCUCUUUGCCAUUCAGAAAGGUUACAGGCUCAUUGCAGUUAUGCCAGCUAAAUAUUCGCUUGAUAAGCAGAUCUUGUUGAGAUUCAUGGGUGCUGAGCUGUACUUAACUGGUAUGAUUAACUGAAGAAAGUUAUGGCAUAACCUUAAUUGCCUUUUUUCAGUCAAAUUCACUUGAUUAAGGAAUUUAUGGGUGACCUUCCAUUGGGCGUACUGUAUGUGCAGAUCCAGCCCUUGGUUUUCCGGGCAUGUUUGACAAAGUUGAACAGCUCCGAAAACAACUGCCAAAUGUACAUGUUCUGAAUCAAGUUACGAAUAAAGCAAAUUCUGAAGCCCACUUCAGAUUGACCGGUAUGGAUAAUAAUAUGUGUUCAAAUGAUGCUUAUAUCUCGGUAUAAACAGGAGUUAGUUGCUGUGGAAUAGUUUUUCUGAGAAAGUAUCAUUUAUGCAUUUACUGUAUUUAUAUGAAAGUUUUGUUUCUUGCUUCAACACAUGCCAACUGUGCUGUAAAUGGUACGCUCUCUGACUGACCGUCAUGCUAUGCUAGUGCAAAUAUCACUGUAUCAGAAAUUCAAAACCUGAAUUCUUGGUGCAACAUGUUACUCUACAUGGCCCUGUUGCCAUCAUAGUUUAGAACCCCACUUACGUUCAAAAAAAAAAAGUUUAGAACCCCACCGAAAUCCUGUACACUACAAGAAUUUUGUAUUCUAGGACACUAAUAAUUACUGGUCAGGAUUUGUAUUAUUAUACAAUUUUUUCUGUUGUAGCUUAAUACAAUAUUGAUAGUACAUGGUGUCAUAAUAUCUUGCCUACUGUUUACAAACACAGGACCUGAGAUCUGGAAGGACACAGCAGGCAAGGUGGACAUAUUUGUGGCCGGUUCAGGCACAGGAGGCACUGUUUCUGGUGUGGGAAAGUAUCUGAAGAUGCAAAAGCCAGGCGUCAAGAUCAUCUGUGUUGAGCCUGCAGAAAGCCCAGUGAUUUCAGGUAGUAUUACACAAAUGUAGAAACACCAGUUAAUUCAAAAUAAUCUUUUGGAAGCCUUGACUCUUGAGCAGCGUGGCUUAACAAAAUACAAUAUUUGCUAUAAGAAUCACAACCUCUAAAAUUGUAUUUGCACAUUGAUAAGCAUUGGUAUUCUUCAGGUGGUGCGCCUGGCAAGCAUAAAAUUCAGGGAGUAGGACCAGGAUUUAUACCUGAAGUCCUGGACACCUCGGUCAUCGACGAGACUGUCACUGUGACCACCGAGGAGGCCAUGACGAACGCGAAGAGGCUGGCCAAGGAAGAGGGCCUGCUUGUGGGCAUUUCUUCCGGAGCAAACCUGGCAGCUUGCUUGAAGGUUCAGACACACAUCCUAGCUAACUGACUGUUCUUCUCGCAUUUCAAUUCCCUGCCUGAAGGUUCAUACAGUGAUCCUUCGAGUGCGUCUUCAGGUCGCUUCGAGAGAGGAGAACAGGGGCAAGAUGAUCGUCACUGUGUUCCCGAGCGGCGGCGAGAGAUACAUGAACUCCGACCUCUUUGCAGAUGUACGAGAGGAGUGCAUUGCCAUGACAUUUUGAUCUCCCCGUUCUUUUGGAAGAUAGCACUGCACUUUAUACUGAAAAACACUGAAAACCCGAUUUCUCAAAAACACUGAAAACCCAGGAAUUGGGACUUUGGGAGCCAGAGCAUGAUACUGUCAGCACUUAGCAGUCUCCACACAAACAUAUUUCUGGGACUUGGCAGUGGCACUCGUCUCUUCGAGUAAAUGACACCGUGGAGGCAAACAUUUUGCUUCCUUAUUUGAUGGAUUUAUUUCCAGAAUAGAAAUGUUCUCUAUAUAUGACAAACCAAUUUCUUUAAUCCUAGGUGGCCAAGUCAAGCAUCGAAGCGUGAUUCUUUCUCUGCAUAUUCCGUGUGUGUGUGUGUGUGUGGGGGGGGGGGGGGGGGGGGGAGGGAAGAACAGCAAAUUCGUCCUCUGUAAAGCCUUCUCCCUUACUACUUGCCAUCCAUUUUCAGUGUUUUAUCUCAUCCACUUAAGGCCAAACAGACAACCAUCUUUGGUGUAUAGGCAGAGCUCCAUGGGGCACCAAAACAUUCCUUAGAAAUCAAGGAUAUUUUGUUGUCACUUGCAAGUUGCAACACUGGGUAUACAAAAUUGUCUCAUACUGUAGAAAGUUUCUUCUCAGUAGCAAUUUGGCCACUAACUGAAAGUACUAGUUUAGGUUCAGUAAAGUAAUGUACAAUGCAAACAUCCGUACAAGUAAAGUUUAUUCUCUCCAAUUUGAGUGGGCUAAUGUGCGAAAAUUGCUUUUCAUCAGUCCCUUUGCCAGCCAGCAGGAUCUUCAUGACACAAUAUCGGGGCACUAGCCGCUUCUCCAGGCUCAAUGUGAGCAGGGAAGGCCUUUCCAGAAUGUCCUGCGUCUCCAGUCCAACCUCGUUGAUCAAGAACUGAAUCUUGGGGAGAAGGCACUCAUGAGAUAUUCCUAGAAUGCCUGGCGUAUUGGGCCAGUAGCAGCAGCAGCAGCAGCAGCACGAGGGAAACGGGCCUCAGAUCAAUUAGAGGGGGGGAAGCACGAGGAGGGUGCGCGUGUGGCCCGUGACAACUCAAAAGGGCCCAGCUGGGCACAGGAAGCCCCGUGAGCGGUGGGCGGUUUCGCGGGAUGGUUGGAUGGAUGGAUGGAUGUUUUUGUCCCACCUCGGAAGCGGAGAGGAGGAGCGGCAGGGGGAGGCGAGUACAAGACGUGGGGGUGGGCGACCUGAGGAAAGCAUCUUUGCGCUUGGGGCAAUGACGCAGCUUAUGAGGUCAUACCGAGGCGCGUCAAUUGCUGGUUGAAAACUAUUUCCAAACCCCCUCAUUGGCCCUCAAAAGCCUUUGAGAAUUUCUGGAAGGGCUCCUUCUCUUCGGAGAAGGGAAAGCCCUACAAAUCAUAUCUAAGUUUUAUUCAUUCAGUCAAUAAUAAUGGUUUUGAAGUCAAUUGAACUUCUCAGAAGAAUCACGUUAGCAGGUGUCCUAUCUGGCUGCACGCCCUCGCCCUUGCUAUACGAACGUGGUUAUUACUCACAAGCAUAAAGAUGUGAUCAACUAAUUGCUUGUUAUUAAAUAUAAGCAUAGCUCUUGUCAACUCUUCUAUUCCUUGCCUAUCUAUCACACCUACUACUAAUACUAAAACGACGUGUUCAAGCUCGCCUCGCUAUCUACGUACAGCAGAGCUUAGAUCUUUUUUUUAAUAAGGCCUUGUUUAGUUUUAAAAAACUCCGUCACGUCGAAUCUUGCAGUACAUGUAUGGAGUAUUAAAUUUAGACAAAAAUAAAAAUUAAUUACACAGUUUGACUGUAAAUCGCGAGAUGAAUGCCAGAAACAAACGAAAGUGCUACAGUACCCAAAAUCCAAAAUUUUUGCCAACUAAACAAGGCCUAUGAGGAUAGUGUUCCAAUUAUCUUGCCAACUGAUCCAAAAGACGGGCCGGCCUGAUCAAACCCCAAGCGUCGUCUGACUCUUACCCAGACACCCGCCCGCGGUCUGGUCAAAUUGGGCCGACUUUGUUUUUCUAGUGGUUUGGAUCGGGUGACAAUGAGCCAAGAACAAUAUUUUUUGUAAAACGGGAGAUGUACAUCCGUACUGUGCUAAUCAGCAAUGCAAGGUGGUGAGGGCCUGACUGAUCAUUUCGUCUUCAGUUUUUCUUCAAGGCUUUUUGUUUAGCUGACUCUUUCAUCUCUUCUUCCGAGGUCUUUCUCCUUGCUUGUAGCAAAGUCAGAAGUCGGAACCAAUCAAAACAUGGCUUACACUUAAUAUCAUGCUACCAAAUGGACAUCCAUAGCAUGACAUGCUUUUACUUGACGUGACAGUAAACAAUUAUGCAGGCCGUCCCGAACAGGUCAUUUAUCUGUUAGUUACAUCUCGUGUUGAGACUCGCUACCAACCAAUCGCAAUCCUCCAAUCCAGAAACAUUUGCAAAUUUAUUAUACGACAUGGACACCGGUGUUGUCUGGUGGUGCUGGACUGGACCGGACCGCCGUAUUACUACAAUUUAAUAUCCCUAUAAAAAAUAUUAGCAAGUGCAGCUACUAAUAAAAGAGUUCUGCGGCUCGCAAGAGGCAAAUUCAUUCUUCACUGACAGGUAACAGCACGCUCCGAGAGGCCAAGAAACGCUCGGUAGUUUGGACUUUGGAGCAGCAUAUCCAUGGCGGGAGAGGAGGCCGGGAGGAGGGGGGUUCCCUCUCUCCUCAACCCGCCGUCCGCUUCCAGCGAAGGGCAGCAGGAACACAUCGCCUCUGAUGUCACUCAGGUCCCCCCUCUCUCUGUCUCGUCUUCGUGCUUGCCUUUUGGGGGGCGCCAUGAGAGAUUAACUGUUCGUGAGCGACGAUUGAUUCCUUCAGCUCAUCGGGUGGACACCUCUGAUCGAGCUCAAGCGAAUUGCCGACAAGGAAGGGGUAGAUGCCCGGAUCGUCGGCAAGGUCGAGGCGUACCAGCCUCUCUGCUCCGUCAAGGAUCGCAGCGCUUUGAGGUCUGACAUUUUUUUUUCCUCUUUGUUUUCCCCAGCUGGUUUGGGAGUUCAGAUGGAACUCUGACCAGUUCUAGUUAUCCUGUUCCUCCAUUAUCUGAUUCGGAUUUUAGCCGAAGAAUAGCAAACUGGGAAGAGGGAACACAAAGUUAACGGACAAUCUUGUGUCUGUCCUGCACAUGUCUCCCAACUUCAGACAUGUAUGGUCUGCAUUUUUGCCAAGUUCAGAAAGACUAGACUAUUUGAUGGUCCUAGACUUUCUGGAUUUAUGCUGUAGCUAACUACUUGUUCCUCUGUUAUAUGGUUGUACUAGCACACUUUCUAGAUUUAUAUGCUGUAGCUAACUAAUUUUUCCUUGUUGUUACUCUGCUUUAUGAAUUGUACUAGCGUAGACUGUGCAGUAACAUUUCUAUUUCUUCUGAAGAAUGAUUGAAGAUGCAGAGGAGAGGGGGUUGAUUUCACCCGGUGUGACGACACUUGUCGAGCCGACAAGCGGCAACUUAGGGUUAGGAUUAGUACUCAUUGCUCUUCGCAAAGGUUACAGGUUCGUUGCAGUUAUGCCAGGUCAAUACUCGCUCGAUAAGCAGAUCCUGUUGAGGUACAUGGGUGCAGAGUUGUAUUUAACAGGUAAGACGAUUUCUAGGAACAGCAUCUUGUUUGACCUUUUAUUUAGGAUGCUAUCUACAUUCUGUCAUUGGCAGACUGGCAGUGUAAAUUCGGUGGAGUUUUAUGGGUUACUCACCAUUGAGUGUGACAUAUGCAGAUCCAGCCCUUGGUUUCCCGGGCAUAGAUGCGAAGGUUGAGGAGCUCAAAAAAGAAUUGCCCAAUGUACAUGUUCUUGAUCAAUUCAAGAACAAAGCAAAUCCUGAAGCACAUAUUAGAUGGACUGGUAUGGUUACUGAAUGAGUUUGGACAUGAUUUUAGUUCAGUACACAUUAGUUAGCUUAUGGAGACGACGCUUUUUUUUUUCUCUGAAAUCUAUACUUUCUCAAUGUCUCUGAACUUUCAAAGUUAUGCUAAGCACUUACUUAAAUUAUUUCCUCCUCACAUGAUGACAAUGCAAAUCUCAUCAUAUCAUAACCUGAUUGCCUGCAUUGUAUUUAUUGACCCUGAUGUCAUCAAGACAUCAAUAGUUCAAAAACCAAAGGGCUGUUACAUGUUAUUGACGUGUACUGAUAUCCAGGACCUGAGAUUUGGAAGGACACUGCUGGCAAGGUGGACAUAUUUGUAGCUGGUUCAGGCUCAGGAGGUACGGUGUCUGGUGUUGGGAAGUAUCUGAAGACGCAAAACCCCAGUAUCAAGAUCAUCUGUGUUGAGCCUGCAGAGAGUCCAGUUGUUUCAGGUAGUACACCAUUCAGAACCAUCAAUUAGGUUAGUAUGCUCUUUGGAGUGAAUGAUCGUGGUACAUAGAGGAAAUUAGGGAGCCAAAGAAAAAUGCACUAUGUUGAGUGCUUCUAUGCUCCCAGAAAGUAUUCCUAAGUACCUAACAUUUCUUUAGAGAUACUGAGUUUCCAUAAUAGUUGUCCCCUGUUGAUGGACCAUCAGUUUUCAGCAAGUCAAAAGCUCUAACGAAUUAUUAGGAACAGUGGAAUUUCCCUAAUGAGGUAAACAUAGUUGUAUGACCCAUACUGUAUAUACUUCUAGAACAUAGAGUACUUUCUACUUUGUUUGGAUGAUCACAGAGCAAUGUUUUCUGCACUGAACAAUUGCAUUGAAUGAUAAUGACAUAGUAUUGCUGUCCUUCAGGUGGCGAACCAGGCAAACACAAAAUCCAGGGAAUAGGACCAGGAUUUCUACCUGAAGUACUGGACACCACAGUUAUUGAUGAAGCUGUCACAGUGACCACUGAUGAAGCGAUGGUGCACGCUAGGAGGUUGGCCAGGGAAGAGGGUCUUCUUGUGGGCAUAUCUUCUGGAGCAAACUUGGCAGCUUGCUUGAAGGUUUGCAAGAAUCCUAACUAAAAUCUCUUCCAUUAAUUCUAACUUCCCAUUCUGAUUCUUUUAGUAAACCUUGAAAUGAAUGUGCCUUUAGGUCGCAUCAAGAGAAGAAAAUAAGGGGAAGAUGAUUGUCACCAUGUUUCCAAGUGGGGGCGAGAGAUACAUGAAUUCUGACCUUUUUGCUGCUGCUAGAGAGGAGUGUAUUGCCAUGACAUUUUGAUCCCACAUCCAGAAGAGGGCUAUGGACUAUUUUCCAUGUAACGGUCGGCAUGUGUUGCAUGUAGUUGAUAUUUGGUCAGACCACAAUGAAUUGCAUGAUUUUGUUAUGGAAUUUAUACUCAACGAAUAUGUAUGAAUUAACUGGAAGAGAAAUGGACAACAAACUAAUGUGUUCUAGGAUUAGUUAAAAAUUUAGUUUAUAUCCUAUAAUUUGCUAAACGUAUGGCCAACACAAAUUGCUCCCAAAUUGGUAUGAUGCCUUUUUUUUUUAAAGAAAAGACAGACAGAUGUGUAGUAUACCUUUAUCUUCAUAUAUGGCACUUGUUUACUCUGUACAUUUAUAAUUUUCUUUUUCCGAAGGGGGGAGGGAUUCUAUUAAAUCGAGAGAUAACAAUUACAUGCAUGUCCACCCAAGUCUCUGGACAUUAAGAAAGAUACAACAAAGUAAAUUCAACUCCCAUAAUGUCAUUCUUCACCUCCAGUUCAUGUUCUUAACGAUUGCCUAGUUAUGAUAGAUCAGGGAUGCACAUCCAAUGCCACAGGAAUUUUCCUUGACACAUCUGACACUAAAAGGAUCAACAUGCCCAAAAGAGGGUGGUGAAUUUGGCUAAUUUAUUUUUUUGUGGAAAUAAACCUUUCACCUACCCAAGUUCACUCAUUGUGCUUAACAAGUGUUAUAUUCUUACUGCAUAAAGUUUUGCAUUCUAAGUUCCAACCCUACUCUAACGUGAUAAUUCUAAGAAUAUAAAAUGCAUGAAAGUAAACGAGGAAAGUAAAGAGGGUUAGAAACAAAUAUAAUUUUUCCAAGGUAUCGGAGAAUCAACACUCACCACUAGUUUUCGUUGGAGCACCCGCACAAGUUUUUUGAUUCCCCUUGAUCCAUGCAACGGUGUACCCCUCCUUGGGCCAAUGCCAAUGAGAGAUCACCAAGAGCCACACCACCACCAAGCCAUCUACAUGAUAAGAGUAACAAACAUAAACUUUCACAUGACCCAACAAAGCCUAGUGAGAAGAGUGAAUGCAAACUUGCUACUCUCUAAGCACUUGGAGUCCUCAAUCUUCAAUUAAGAUUUCCUAACCACUCCAAUUGACUAAAUCAUUUUCUUAGACUCAAGUAUGUGUAUCUAGCUACCCUAGCUUCCAAGAGAUCUAAAAUGCAUGAGAGGACGGAGUAUAUAUAGGUCAAGCAAUCAAAACUAGGCGUUGGAAUUCCACUCAACCGAAAACCAUGCAACGGAUUUCUCUUGUGCUUUCUUGGUGCAGCACCGGAGAAUUCCAGUGGCCUUCAACUGGCUGAACUCCAAAUUAGCCGUUACUGUAUAAACAAGCUCCAGUGUGGCAAUAGAGGAUUCUGUGGACAUUUUUAUUUCACCUUGGCCAAAUGCACUCGUCUCUAGUGUAUCUCUCGUGCAAACUCUGGUGACUUCAUCUCCUCGAUCUCAACCAAUUGCACAUGUCUCUGUUGCAUUACUCCGGUGCCUACACCAGAAUCCAUAGCAUUUUUCUAUAGCUCAGGUGGUCUUUGCGGUGCCCAAACUGGAGAGCUCUGGUGCCUACAAAAAUAGUGUAAAUUCUUGCAAUUCAACUUCUUUGAGUCUGGCUUUGGGUUUCAUUCAUCUUUGGGCUUCAUCUGAGGAACCUAGUGCUAGUUUUCACAGGUGUGCAUCACAUGCACUCACUAAACUUACUUAGGUCAAGAUACCCAUUCAUAUCCUUCUUCACAGCACAACCAAAGAAGAGAAUAAGAACCUAAACUACUCUAAGUGUUUCUAAAUACCAAAUGACACUUAGAGCUAGCUUGUCCUUAGCCUUCGCACACAUCCUCUGAAAAUCGUUGAAAUCAACCAUUAUAAGGGAAUGAAAACCACAAGAGCCCAAUCAAUAUAAAUCAUUGUGAUUUCACUAAGAAAUGGUACCGCAAAACACAUGUUAGUCACAAUGAUUAUAUCGUCAUUAAUCACCAAAACAGAAUUAGAGGCCUAUGCAUUCAAUCUCCGUAUUUUGGUGAUUGAUGAUAACACAACCUCGUGUAUGUGUAUAAGAGAAAGAUUUAAGGUUUUCAACACUUGGUUUGCAUGACCACAUGAUAGUAAGUCAGUAAGAGCAAACGGUUAGAAUUAAUUCAUGUAAGCCAAGCCUAAAACACCGUUACGAGUAUGAAAAUAAGCGAGUGUAUGGAAGGAAUUACUCAUUUGACAUAACUUUUAAUGGAAGCUCAGCAAAUGAGUAAACAAACAUAACACGAUAUAAGAUAUAUAGAGCACAACACGUGUCACAAGCAAUGAGCUAGCAUGUAUAUACACAAAGGAUAUAAUGCAAAUAAUGCAUGAAAAUAGCAUAUCAAAAGAUCCAAAACCUCAUUAAUUCCCCUUAUCUCACAUGCUCUCACGCACUCUCCCCUUUUAACGUCAGACACCAAUACCUAAGAGUCUGAAUAUGGGAAAGUCACAAAUGAGAAAGGAUUUAAGGUGUGCAGAAUGAACUGGAACUAAGAAGUGUCGUGCCUUCGACGUUCCAUGAUAAAUUCUAAAAUAUUAUCUAUUAUGGAACAGAGGGAGCAUACAACUUGGGCACUGCCACACUGGUGGUGGAGUUAACUAUAUUUUCUCUAAUAUAGCAUAUUAAAAAUUACUUUAUCUAUUUUAAAAUAACUGCACAUCUCAGUUUUUUUAAGUAGUCAAAACCUUUUUAAAUUUGACCGACUAUACAACCAAAAAUCCAAAAUUACUAAUAAUUUAUGGUGCAUAAUAAUUAUUUUUAGAUUAAUCAUGAUAUAUAUUUUUAUAAUAGAUUUAUUUGUUAAUAAUAUUAUUUCUUAUAAUGUCAGUUAAAUUUAUAGGGAAAGGAAACGAUUCUAGAAGCCAGUUAUUUGGAAGGCAGGAGCGGUAAGUGGUCAAGACUUUUUUUUAAAAAAAAAAACUUGUCAGUUGAGGCUUUUAGAGUGCACGUGCGGUUGAAACUCGGUUAAAUAUAGAAAAAAAAAGACUUAUGUAGUUAUUUUUGAACCACAUGAGCGGUAAGCAUUCUUGGGUUCAUUGCGUCUCGCAGGAGGCAAGCUUCAGUUAUCACUCAUCAGUCUUCAGUCUUCACUGACAGCACGCUGCGACUGCGAGAGUCCAAGAAACGUUGCUGCACCUGCAUCCAUGGCGGGAGAGGAAGCCGGGAGGAUGGGGAUUCCCUCUCUGCUCUAUCCAUCGUACGCUUGCAGCAGCGAAGAACAGCAGGAGCACAUCGUCUCUGAUGUCACGCAGGUCAGGCCGCUUUGCUUUUGGGCUUAAUAAGGCAGCCAUGAGAGAUUAAUUGUUCGUGAGCAACGAUUCCUUCAGCUCAUUGGGUGGACACCUCUGAUCGAGCUCAAGGGAAUCGCCAGCAAGGAAAGGGUAGAUGCCCGGAUCAUCGGCAAGAUCGAGGCGUACCAGCCUCUCUGCUCUGUCAAGGAUCGCUGCGCUUUGAGGUCUGACCUUUUUUUUCCUCCUUUUUUACCCUACUGGUUAGGGAAUUCAGAUGGAACUCUGACCAGUUUUAGUUAUCCAUUUUCUCGAUCGUCUGAUUUGAUUUUUAGCUGAAGAAUACUUCCUCUGUUCUAAAUUGCAAGUCAUUUUGGCUUUUGUAAAUACGUAGUUUUUGUACGUAGAAAAGCCAAAACGACUUUCAGUUUGAGAUGGAGGGGGUGGCAAACUGUGAAGAAGGAACACGUAAGUCAACUGACAAUCUUGUGUCUGUCCUGCACACGUCUCCCAAGUUCAUAUAUGGCAAUUUCAUCACUUCCAACUCUAAUGACUAAGUGUUUUAGGCUAAAUGAAUUCCAAUGCGUCACAAGCAAACCAAGAAGGUAAUGCAAACUUAGGACUAUCAUUAGUCCUGAUCUUGCCCUGCUUGGCCUGUUUACAAAAUGUAAUGCAGUACUUACGCUACAUCAGAUUAUAAGUACAACGAUAUAUUUGGUACGUCAUGUUUGCAGAAGCAUCAUUCCUCAAUCACAAUUUCCAUAUCCAUGUCAGAUUCUCUACCCCUGCGACCAAUAACUUCACCAUUAGCAAGCCUCUGCAAGUCAACAAUAGAGAGUUGGUCAAGCCAUCUCACAACAUGGUUUGCUGCUUGGAGCUCAUAGGCAGGGUGUCGGCCUGCAACUGCCACACACCUCAUCCCAGCGUUAUGUGCAGAUUCCGUCGUCAAGUUUGAGUUACCAAACACAACACAAACAUCUGGCUCCAGACCAAGUUGCUCUGCCGCGACCUCAAACAUCUCACCAUCAGGUUUCCCUAGGCAGAAGUCCUCCAAUGCAAUUAUAGCAUCAAAGUAGCCUUGCAGACCAACAGUUUUAAUCCCUUCUUCGAGACUCUUCCUUGAGUGAGGAGUUGCAAUUGCUAUUGGAAUGUCCAAACCCACAAGGGUGUUCAAGAAAUCAAGCACACCUGAUCGCAGCUGGUAGUAUCCACCUCUGAGUGUUUGAUAUAUUACCUCCUUGUGUGCUGCCAACCUUUGAAUUUCUGCUGGAUCUUCUGACCAACAUAAGACUUCUGAAAUAGCCUGGUCAGUUCUCAUUCCCUCAAUUUUCUUCAGCAAUGCAUCUGGAGGGAAAGACUUUCCCUCUUCAAGUGAUAGAACAUACCAAACCCGGGGCUCCAAGUCUGGAUCAUCAUCGUCCACAACAACUCCCUCCCACUCCAAGAUCACACCAAAGCUGUUACUAGUCACUAUUUCAUCCUUUUGUUUUUUCUUCUUCGAGGUAGGUCUUUUAGGAACUUCUGGUGGUGCCAACAGCCAGCUAAGGUUCUCUGGAAGUCUAUAAACCAAUUCGUAAAGCUCAUGUACCUGGGGGUUCCGCUUCAUGUCUGUGGCAUGCGGCUUCAAACGUGCCCUCUUCACCAUCAUAGCUGUACCCAAGGGCUUUGUAACUGAAUGCAUGGUCAGCGCAAAAUAUGGGUUAUUUGUCAGGCAUUUUCUGUAAAACUUGAGAGAAGGCUGCAGCGAGCUCCCAAAUAAAUUGUUAAAAGAGAUCAUUUCUCCCUGAAUCCUAUCUGAAACUUGUACUGAAGUUCCAAUUUUCAGAAAAGCAAGUUCAGCUCACAUGCGACUAAUCAGUGAGAUCCAGGGAUAAUGCAAACUGCACCUGCAUUAGGAACCAAGCAAAAGGUAUAAAAAACAUAUUUUAGAAAAACAAAUGGAGGGGUAAUAUCCACCUUCUGCACCAACCAGAGGUGCACACAGCCACUUAUCUCUCUUUACAGGUGGACAUCAUGUUGUUGAUGGUGACCUGUGCACUGUAAUCAUCAAAACUUACGAGCCGUUUCGGGCUAAAAUAAAAUUAUUUUACAGGUGGGGAUCGCCUCCCCCCCGUUGACUCUCAAAAAAAAAACUUAUCUCUCUUUAACUCGUUUAAAAAAAAACUUAUCUCUCUUUAAUAUUUGUGCACAUAGGAUUUGAGCCCUGGUCGGUGGACCUAUACUUUCACAUCUUACAACUGCACCAAUGGUUCUUUCGCAAAGUUAUGACUUAACAGCUUGGCAAAUAACUUCCUAUCCAUAAUUUUUUUAGCAAAAUGAGGAAAAACCUUCUAGCGCGCAAAUAUAUGUGUGGGCAAUGUGCUUGGGAUCGGUCUUUCUCCUCAUGCUUUGCGGGGCUCUUCGUUCGUUUAGCGGGGCUCUUCGUUCGCUUAGCGGGCCUCUUCAUUUCAUUAGCGGGUUUUUGGGUUUUUAGAAACAAAAUUUGCCAAACUAUUGGAGAUGAGAUGUUUUUUUCCUCCUCACAUUAUUUUGGGAGUUGGGAAACAACAAGAUUUGGGAAACGAAUUUUCCCAAACUGUUGGAGACUCUAACAACAUAAUGCGCAGUACAUAAACGCUCCAUGUCAACAGCUUGUUUAGUUAUAGUGUUUACUUCAGUGAGAACUAAAGAAAUCUGUGAACCGGGGUUAACUAGAGUGUUUUCUUGUUGCACUCUUGUAAACUGGCAACCUCAAUGCUGGGUCAGGGUUUCAGCAGCACGCUUAAAGCUGGACUAAAGCCUUUGGUCCAAAAAAAUGCAAAGGGGCAAGAUUUCCUUUCUCCAUUAAAGUCAGAUAGAUUGGCAUAAGCAUUUGAUUCAUUAUCUUAGUUCUCCUGCUCGCAGUAUACUUAGAAUUUAGGAAGAAAGCAUAUGCAGAGCCUCACUUCUUGCAAGCAUUUCUACAAAUCGACCUUCAUAUGAAUCCCUAAAAGGAACAGCCUAACACUAACAGUAACUUUUCCUGGUAGACAUGCUUUCCGCAUUUUAGGCGAAGUUACAACGGAUGUCAGAAUAAAAGGCGAACUUUAGCACAAGGGCUCGGCCUAAUUAGCUCCAUCCCAACUAUUGGACAGGACAGCAAAUGCGAAGCAACAAGGCGCAAUCUUUGCAGCGAAACUCCGUCAUUUCCGAAUAUUUUUCAGGAGACAGACAGCAAAACAAGGUAAUGCUUCAUCUUAGCCCAAGCAGUAGCUACUUCCCAAGAAUCCGGGAACAAAAGAGGAUUAUGCUGACCUGAUGGAGGAGAAGGAGCAGGUGAAGGGAGCGUCGGCCGAAGCUUGGAGGAGUGGAGGAGACUCCAGCGCCAGCCACUAGCCCACUACAACCGGGGGCCGGGGCUCUUGUCUUGUGCGCUUCGAUUGGAUGGUGGCGAUGAGCUCCACCGCUUUUGGAUAGACAAAGGGACGCGGGCGGCCGCUCUGGCGCUCCCCAUUGGUGGCAAGCUGCGGCAGCUUGGUGACAAUGCCAAGUGGGACAGGAGAGGUUGGGACCCAACUGUUAGAGAGAGUGGCUGCGCGGUGGCGAGAUCUAUGGCCUGCAUUCUUGCCAUGUUCAGAAGCACUAGACCACUAGAGUAUUUCAUGGCCCUAGAUUUUCUUGAUUUAUGCUGUAACCUGUAACUUACUACUUGUUGUCGUGUUCCCUUAUUGUUCCUCCGUUAUAUGAUUGUACUAGCACAGUAACAUUUCUAUUUUCUUCUGAAGAAUGAUUGAAGAUGCAGAGGAGAGAGGGUUGAUUUCACCUGGUGUCACCACACUCGUCGAGCCGACAGGCGGUAACAUGGGGUUGGGAUUAGUCCUCAUUGCUAUUCGCAAGGGUUACAUGUUUGUUGCAGUUAUGUCAGGUCAAUACUCGCUCGAUAAGCAGAUCCUGUUGCGAUACAUGGGUGCAGAGUUGUAUUUAACAGGUAAGAUAAUUUCUGGGAAGCUGCCCAAGCACCUUGUAUUAUGAGUGACAGUGUAAAUUCAGUGGAAUUAAUGUUGUAUGGGCGAACUGCCCUUGAGUCCAACUGUGCUGUGCUACACUCUGUAAUCUGAAACCUACGAGCCGUUUCGGGCUAAAAUAAAAUUGUUUUACAGGUGGGGAUCGCCUCCCCCCGUUGACCAUCAAAAAAAAAAACUGCCCUUGAGUGUGACAUAUGCAGAUCCAACCCUUGGGUUCCCAGGUAUGAACGCGAAGGUUGAGCAGCUCAAAAAAGAAUUGCCCAAUGUACAUGUUCUUGAUCAGUUCUCGAACAAAGCAAAUACUGAAGCACAUAGUAGAUGGACUGGUAUGGUAACUGAAUGAUGUUUUUAUUUCAGUACACAUGAGUUAGCUUAUGCAGAGACGCAGACGAACUAUUUUUUUUCCUUCUAAAAUUUAUACUUUCUCGAUGUUUCAACUACCAAAACUAUGCUGAGCACUCGUUUAAAUUCUUUCAUCCUGAUGUAAUCGAUAGUUCAAAAACCCAAGGGUUGCACGGAACAUCCUGUACACUGGAAGGGCUUUGUAUUGCAGAGUAGUGAAAGUUAGUAGUUUCUAUCCUAUUUAAUAUACUUUGCUGGAACUGGUACUGGUAAGUAGGUGACAAUAUUGUUUCUACAUGCUAUCAUAAUACAUUGCAUGUUGCUGAUGUGUACUGAUUGAUAUAUAGGACCUGAGAUUUGGAAGGACACUGCUGGCAAGGUGGACAUAUUUGUAGCUGGUUCAGGCACAGGAGGUACCGUAUCUGGUGUUGGGAAGUAUCUGAAGAUGCAAAACCCCAGUAUCAAGAUCAUCUGUGUUGAGCCUGCAGAGAGUCCAUUCAGAAACACCAACUAUCAUCAAUUAGGUUAGUAUGAUCUUUGGAACGAAUGAUCUUGCUAUAUUUAGGAAGUUAGGGAGGCAGAGAAAUCAUGUGUUAUAUUUGAUUGCUAUCGAAUGCUUUAUACCUAUUAUCAGGCACAGUUGGACGAGCACAGAUCGAGCGGCGUUUUCUGCACUGAAUAAUAACAAUCCAUUUCCACACUGAAUGAUAAUAACAUAGUAUUGCUGUCCUUUAGAUGGUGAACCAGGCAAACACAAAAUCCAGGGAAUAGGACCAGGAUUUGUACCUGAAGUACUGGACAGAUCAGUUAGCCAUGAGGUUGUCACAGUGACUACAGGAGGCGAUGGUGAACGCUAGGACUAGGAGGCUGGCCAGGGAAGAGGGCCUUCUUGUGGGCAUAUCUUCUGGAGCGAACUUGGCAGCUUGCUUGAAGGUUUGCAACUAUAUAUCCUAACUAAAAGUUCUUCUCUUGUCCAAAAAAAAACUGUUCUUCCAUUUUUUGUCCAAAAAAUUUUCUUCCAUUAAUUGUUGCUCCCUCUAUUUCAAACUAUAAGACAUUUAUAAUUUCUAGAUAUAUAGCUUUUGCUAUAUACUUAGAUAUACAUUGUGUCUAGAUACAUAGUAAAAACAAUAUAUAAAAAAACCAAAACAUCUUAGAAAUUAAAAUGGAGGGAGUAUUUCUAUAUUCUGAGCUUUUUUAGUAAACUUACAUGAAUGUGCCUUUAGGUAGCAGCGAGAGAAGAAAAUAAGGGGAAGAUGAUUGUCACCAUAUUUCCAACCGGAGGCGAGUGAUACAUGAAGAAGAGGGCCGUGGGGUAUUUUCCAUGUAAUGGUCGGCAUGUGUUGCAUGUACUUGAUAUUCGGUUAUACCGCAACGAGUUGCGUGAUUUUGCUAUAGAACUUAUACUCAAGAAAAAUGUACUCCCCCCUUCCCAAAAUAACUAUGAUUCUUGCUUUCCAAGAAAUAACUUUAAUUAAAUAUAUAUUAAAAAUAGUUAUUAUUUAUAUUAUAUAAUUAAUAUCAUUGGAAAGAUCUUUAAAUCUAGUUUUUAACAACUUUAUUUGGGGAUAUAAAUAUUGCAUGUAUUUUUUAUAAAUCGAGUCAAACUUGCGACACGGAAACAAAAAAUGACAGAGUAUGAAUUAACUGGAGGAGAAAUGGACAACGAGCUAAUGUGUCCCAUCAUUAGUUUUUCUAAAAAAUUCUAAAAAAAUAGACAACGAUCUAAUGAGUUCCAGGAUUAAUUCAAAAUUUGGUUGAUCGUAUAAUUUGCUAAACAUAUGGCCAACCCAAACUGCCUCCGCGAGUGGGUACGAUGUUUUAUUUCUUUUUUUAAGAAAAUAAUUUAUUUACUGUGUACAUUUAUAAAUCUUUUUUUGAAACAGAAGUGAACAAUUAUAUGCUAAACAUUUGGUGUUUGGGACUGCUUCAUUCCAUGUUUUUUUAGCUUCGCUCCACGUUUUUUAGCAAAUAGGUCUAGCUCCACGAAGCUAUGUUAUACAAAAAAAGUUACUGUGAGAGGAGAAACGUAAAACUUGUGCAGCGGUACCAAAUACGCCCUAAGACUCCGGACAAUAAGAAAGAUACACUAGAUUACAUUUAGAGCUCUCUAACAAUUUUCUUCAUCUCCAAUCCAUUUCUCCUCGGGAUAAAAUAUCUGCAACAACUAAUAAGAUCAAAAUGAAUGUCAAAAUCUAGAUUCAUGACACCAUAAAUCUUGUGUUGUAUUCUUUUAAUACUUAUGCGUUCAAAAAUUCACUGAUUGAUGGAUUAAUUAAUUAAAUACUCUCUUUAUUCUAAAUUAUAGGUCACUUUAGAUUUCAUCUAAGUCAAACUUCUCUAACUUUGACUAAAUCUAUAAAAAGGUGCCAACAUUAAACACCAAAUUAAUAUCUUGAGAGUGCACUUGCUUGUAUUCUAGAUGUCAUUAUAUAUAUUUCUGUAAACUUGGUGGUAUUCUAGAUGUUGUUAUAUAUUUCUAUAAACUUAGUUAAAACAUAGAGAAGUUUGACUUAAAACAAAGUUAAAGCCAAAGUAACUUUAUAAUUUGGUUGAGAGUGAGUAACAAAUGUUUCUUAACUAACGUGAUUGAACCAUAAACUCAUACUCUCUCCGUCCUAGUAUAUAAGGUGUAAACUUCCCUGAUUCAAAGACUAAGAAAUGUAUUUAAUUCUAUCUCUCUUAACACUAAUACUACUAUAUCGAUGAAUACUUCUUGUAUUAUGGAACUUGAAUAAAAAAUAAUUAUGUAAUAUAUAUUAGAAUGGAGGGGUAGGUUAGACACGUAUGGUCAGGCUAUUGCUAUAUGCAUGGUAUCAUGCACAAUAAAUGAGUGUCAUAUAAGAUUUAGUUGGCACGCAGAUUGAGAGUGGAGAGAGAGAUAUGUGUGAGAGAAGCAACUCCAUGCUGGGUGCUUGGACCUUUGCGCCGGGCCACUGCUCGCCGCUGGGACGGCGCUCGAGGAGCUUCCUCUAAGGGCAUCACAGAGGGAGUCACGGGAGGGAGAGAGUAAAUGGAAACAUAAGAACGGUUCUGUUCGCUUAAGCUUAUCAACCGAACCCGCUAGCCAUUCAGUAAUGUUUUUCUCUUAUAACAAAUAAGUGAACAAUGCUUUCAACCAUGACUUUUCAAACAAGCAAACAUGAUCAACAUAGAGAGGGGCGGAGUCAAUGAUCACUGUGCUCCACGAGUAUCCAUUCACGUGGCCACAUAGACCGGCCUCUCAGUCACCCCGGAGAAAACCACAACAUACAGAAGACAAGGACAUCUAGGGCGCGAUUGCGGGAAUGGUGGGGUGCACAUAUAGAGCCUUCGCUUGUUUGAAAAGUAAUGACUAAAAGUACUGUUCGCUGAUUUAUUGUGAGAGGAAAAUACUAUUGAUAGAUUCGGCAGAUAAGCUCAAGCGAACAUGACCAUAGAUAUUGGAUUCGGUGUACAAAGUUUCACCAUCUCUACUGAAUAUAUUGACGGUGAAACAUGCUUUUCAAUCACCGCCAUUUUAGAAUAAGAAUUGAUGGUUUCACUGCUGGUUUUAUUUAGAACCGGUAAUGAUAUAUAUUAUCACAAAAUGUAUUAAUAAAACUGAUCGACGAUAAAAAUAGUAUUGGUGAAAAUAGUUUGUGUAGUAGCGUAAGAUAGAUGACACAUCUGGUGAGUUGUGGCCUGAUACAGUGUACUCUAUAUUGAAUUGUACAGGUAAGUCACGGCUGUUUGCGUGUAUGGAAAUCGAAUUUUACAUGCAGUAUUUCCUUCGAUGGCACAAUUAAUUCUGCGACCCCCGUGCGUGAUCAUGACUGAACUGUUCUUAGUUGCGUUAGAGCUGUCCAUAUACAGCAUCUCCUUCCAUAUGUACAACUAGAUCGUGCACGUGUAGUCUAGGCAUGACUAUAUAAACGUACGCAAGCUAUACGAAAGAGCUGUGCUUCUUGUCGAUACAUACCGUCAAACCUACGAAGAACAAAAGUCGAUCUAUAGCUGUGUGCUUGUCGUCGUCUUCGUCCCUUGUAGCGAUGGGUAGGUGCGGCGGCAUGGCGUUGUACCUGAUCAUGGCAAUCGUCUUGCCCGUUGUUCUCUUCGCAUCGUCUGCAAAUUGUAAGUAAAAAAAAAAAAUACAUCCGCCCUCCUCAUCAAGCUGUUGUUUGAGCUCGAAGGAGUCAUGCCUUCUGGAAUAUAUAUGAUGGCAGAGAUUAUUUCUUUGUCUUUUUUAGAUGUUCGUCUUCGUUGUGAUUAUUUGGUUGCCCAUGUUGGUUUUGUCAUCUGAAAAUCUACGGCUUUCUUGCCCAGUUCGUUUUUUUUUUUAAAAAAAAAACCACACACUAACGUUUUGUAGCAGGUCGUCCUGAGCCACUCGACGCCAACAAGGCGAGCAGCAAUGGCCAUGCCAUGGCGCUCAACGACUCCACGGCAACGACGACGUCAUUAGUCAAUGGCAGCAGCGGUUCCGGCGGCGGCGACGUGAAGCUGGUGUGGUGCAUCAUGAGGAAGUGUGUGUACGAAGGCCGUGGAAACGCCCCCUGCUUCUGUUGCGCGGCCAUGAAGCCGAACGCGUGCUACGAAACGAGGGACCAGUGCAACGGCAACUGCGUGUAGCUGUAGCCGACGCCGAGCGAUGAGAGAUCAUAUCGAUCGAUCGAUCCAUCAGGCAUAUAUAUCAGCCAUAUCGUCGAAUGACUAAACAAACAACUGCGUGUUUUUUUUAUUUGUGUCUUUGAUGAAGAACUGUGGUAGUUGCAUUGUUAUAUCUUCUCUGAUGUACAAGCAGUACCCUUGAUUUCAAUCAUAUAAUAUCUCAUGUCGAUGUUGCUUGGAAAAUCACCUUUGCACUAGUGUUUUGCUCGCUUGAUGCAUGACUUUAGCUGGGAUGAUUGGAUUCUCCAGCUAAUAGACUCAACUAAACUUUAGUUGGUUCUUUAGCUGGGCCGUUUGGAUCACAUGCUAAAUUUAGCUGCUAGGGAUCCAAAUGGCCUAGCUAAAAGAUCAACGAAAGUUUAGCUAAGUUUAAUUACUUUAACCUGGCUAUUAGCUAAAGUUUAGCUGAGUCUAUUAGCCGGAGAAUCCAAACACAUACCCAAGCUAAAGUUUAGCAAAAUAAUCUUUUAGCUAUCUAAAGUUUAAUUAGCUUUGAAAUUUUAACUAGUUAUAAACUUUAGUUGGCCAGAUCCAAACAGAUCAUAUACAUUUCUAUGAAUUUGGUUAAAAAUAGAGUUUGUCUUGGAACAAAACUAAAAUUAAAAUAGUUUAUAAUUUUAUAAUUUGGAAUGGGCUGAGUACAAUAACUCAUUCUAAGGUAUAUAAUAGUUAGCUCCUCAGUAUUAAUAAUAUAUGAUCUAGUUUUCUCUCACAUGAUUUAUUAGAGGUUGGGAUUAUCUCUAAAUUUAGAACCCACAUUGGCUGUAAACUAACAACCCACACCUCUUUUUCUCUUGAUCGGACCUUGUCUGUUUCUUUUUCAUCUUAUCAUAAAACUUACUUACAACCUGUUACUGUACUUACUCAUAGGCUGGUAUAUCAUGCACAUUCGAUGAGUGCUAAACUAUAUAGGAUUUCAUUGGCGCUCAUUGUUGUAUCGAGUUAAUAAAUAAAGAGAAGAAAUCAUUAAAGUUGUAUAUCUCAAUUUAGGCUUGAUUUUCAAGACUAGGUAUGCAUAAACUUUUCGCCGGUUAUGUACCUAUAUACCGACCCUCAUCAUUGACAUAACAUGACUUAACGAGAGGCUACACCCCCAACCCAACUCGGACAUAUGUACGUCGUACAGGGGCUCAGGAGACUACACCCACUGUUGUGGGUUUCGAUGUCACGGCUGCAAUCUAGGCCUUGUUUACUUCCCGAAAUGAAAAUUUUCGUGACACUGUAGCACUUUCGUUUGUUUGUGGUAAUUAUUGUCCAACCAUAGACUAACUAGGCUCAAAAGAUUCGUCUCGUCAAUUUCGACCAAACUGUGCAAUUAGUUUUUAUUUUCAUUUAUAUUUAAUACUCCAUGCAUGUGUCUAAAGAUUCGAUGUGACAGGGAAUCUUGAAAAAUUUUGCGUUUUUGGGUGGAAGUAAACAAGGCCCUAGUUGUUUGUCAUGGAUGGAUACGUGAGUCUUGUUAUCAUCUUAUUAAAUUCCAUCCAAAUAAUAUCAUGUCGAUCUUGCUUGCGAAAUCAUCAUAUCACGCGCUAGUUUUUGUUUAUUUUUGGAUCACCUGAUGCAUGCACCGUCUUCUUGCUUACGAUGUCACGCCUUGUUUGACUAAUUUAUUGUAAUUGUUGUAAGAGAAAAAUAUUAAAAGAUUGUCUGACAGAUUCGGCAAAGAAGGCGUAGCCUUGUCGUGUUCCCGCUGUCGUCACGAGGCAAAACUAGCCAAAUCGUCGUCCCGCGCCGCCGUCGCCAGGCGCCAGCCAACCACCACCACCACCAGCGCCGCUGCUGCCGUGGCAACAGCUGCCAGUUGACGCCACGCCGUCGCUGCCAUAUUAAGCUAGCUAGCUAGCUAGCUAGCGCGCCAUGCUAAUCUGGGCGUCCCCCGCGCACGCGCAGGACCUGCCACCCUCGCCGUCGUAUUUAUUCGCUCUCGCAGGCCGGCCGGAGGGCCGAGCUGCCUUGCAAACAAACCCACGUAGAGCCGUCGAAUCCAGCAAGCCCCCAGCGCAGCUCGUGCGACCCAUUCCAUUCGUGGUCCGUGCGCGUGCGCGUGCGCCACGCGGUUCAGACGUGCGGCGCGGCGCGGCGCGGCGCUGGGUGCUGGCCGGCCGUCGUCGUCUGAUCGGAGAUCUCAUUUCGCCGCCCGAUGCUCGCUGGAGGCUGACGAGCGCCGCCGCCGUCGCUAAUUUUGCCGCGGGGAGACACCCCAGCCGUCCGAGGCCGGUCGGACGGCUGUGCUGGUGCGGCCAAAAAUAGCGAGCGCCCCGUCCCGUCCCGUGCAUGCCGUGCGCUGACGAGGCGUUCGGCUCGGCUCGGCUCCGCUCCGCUCCACCAACCGAGGAUCAGGCGUCGUCGUCGCCGUCGCUCCGUGCCACAGGCGCCGCGCCGGUCGCGUCCAGAUCGGUGACCGGCCGCGGCUUGUGCGCGCAUGGCGUUGCCACUGCAGGACGGCGCCGAGUUCCGCGGCAACGUGGCGCCGGCCUCGCCGCCGCCGACGCAGCUCAUGGAACGGCUCUCGUCGACGGACAGCGGCGGCGGCGAGGAGGCGGGCGAUCCUGACAGGAUCCCCGCGGCGGUGUUCGAGCGGGACCCGUCCGAGUCCAACAAGGACUGGAGCAUGAUGUCCACGGAGUCGGUGUUCGGCCUCCAGGUCGCGCCGUCCAGCGACUUCACCGGCUUCUUCCUGGCGCACCCGGAGCUCAUGGACAUCGCCACGCCGCCGCGCAGCAGCAGCGCCUUCGCCGACGCCGACGCCGACGCCAAGGCCGCCCCUGUCAUCUCGCCGCCCUUCGAGAGCAUCCCGGAGCUCCCCGAGAGCGCCAUGAAGGGAAACUACUCCUUCGCCUUCCCAAAGUACGCACAUCACCAUGUGCCAUUUCGUUCCAUACGAUUAAGAUACGUUCUUAUUGUUUAAAAGCUGAAUCUUCUCGACCAACUGAUGAACAAAAAAAAUCUUAUGGCGCAGCUUGAUAGAGGACAAGAGGAACUACUCCAAGAAGCAGUCGCAGCGGGAACACCAGCCGGAGCCAGCAACACCAACGGAGGUGGCCAAGCCCGCACCAGCAGCACCGGCGAAAGCUGAAGCGAAGGCGGAGGCGCAGCCGGAGACAAGCAGCAAACCGGAGGCAGCUCCGGCUCCGGGGUCAGGAAAGGGCGGCUUGUUCUCAUGCUUCCCCUGCUGCUGAUAAGCAAGCAAGAUGCAGUUUGCAGUGGCCAGAAUGAUGUCUCUGUAAAUCGCCACUUGGCCGUUAUGUAAAAUGGAGUAGGGUGCGAAGAAAUGCAGGGUGCAAGUGUAAGGGCAGAGGGUUUCCUGGUACAAAAAAUGGCGUUGUGGGCAGCAAAAGGUUCUUGCAAUGCAAGGAAGUACAGUAUAUAUGUCGAAUUCAGAAUGGCUAACUUGCUAUACUGGCGGUGUAAACGAUCUUUUUAUGUACUGUGGAGAGACCGAACAAUUCCAAGUCGUUUUUUCGCGCUUUCUAUAAUGCCCUGUACAGUUCAGUUCUGAAAGUAGAGUUGUAAUGAUCCUUUUAUUUUGUGUAUAUAUAUAAGCAAGGGUAUCUGUAACAUGAAUCUAAAAGGUCAGGGAUGAGGGUACUUUAAUUUGGCAACCUGACCUGAAUCUGAAUGUAAACAACUAGGAAAAUCACAGGGACCCCAUGAUACAGUAUAAGAUAACUUUGGCUUAAAUGUUUCAUGGCAGAAAAAGGUUCCCCUAGCACAACACGAGUUGAGCAUGAUAUGACCUGCACGGCGACUAAAAGUUUGCAGACAGAUGAAAUUUAAGUGCCAAAGAUUUGAGCUCUUUGAAUCAUGUGGAAACUACGUGCUGAAUACCCAGUCAAACAAGGGACAGUAACAAAAGGAUGUCUCCUUGGACAAUUACAGCAUAGUACACAAAUUCUGAGAUGGAAUCUCCAUCACACACAACAGGCAUUCUGAUCUAGUAGAACGGUAAUGCCAAGCGCUUACAAGUAAUUUCAUAUUUGCAUACCAUUCAGCUAGAAGACCCUACUGCUGGCUGGAGACUGGCGUGCCAUCUUCAUUCUGUGCAGCUUCGGUUCCCAGAGUUUUCUUAGCGACUUGUUUGGGAAUAUCAAGGUCAUCUUGGAUGCAACGUUGCAAAGGAUGGGAUAGAAGAAUGCACAUCUGACGAAAGAGAACACGAGCAAGCCCUUGACCAGUCUCAAGAAUGUACCCCUCAUACUGGCUGACAUGGUCAAGAGCAUCAACCAAGGCAUCAUAUACCAUCUGUGGGCAGUUGUCAGCACUUGGCUUGUCAUGGAGAUAGAUUAUGUCAAGGGUGAAAUUCUUUGGCCUCACAGGCCACUGAUGCUGUGGCUUAGUAGAGGAACGGCAGUAGAUGAGUACCUGGAAUGAUUAACCUUGAAGCAAUCAAGACCCAAUACAUUGUAUAACUGAUAAAGAAAUGGAAAGUAGAUAACUGCAUGAGGAAACAGUGUGCCAGUAUCAAAAGAAGACUCAUGUACAAAAUGGGGCACAGAAGGAUAGAUAGUGAUCUGAGGAAAAUUAGCACCACGAUGAUUCAGAGUGGUCCUGCAUUUUACAUAUACUGAACACAGACUAAUAUUUCCAGAACACCAUAAUUAACGUCGAGAGCCCUUCGUGUGUGGUAAUAGUUAAAAAAAUUAUCAACAAUGUUCUAAGUGCUUGAUGUCCAAUUGGUUACCAGACACUAACAUGGGGCAUAAUUAGCAGAGAGACACUACUAAAGUAAUGUAAAACUGAGUCCUAGUUACCAAAAAAAAAAAAGCUUACCACCCUGAGAAUCCGGCCUUGCGAUUCUGCUCUUUUCCCUUCCUGGUUAGCUGUCAUGAAGAGCUGGGUGAGAUCAGCCAUUGGAUAUCUUGAUUCUGAAGCAGACAAGGAAUGGAUCGCCUCCAUUGCUGAACCAGCGUCACUGCUGAAGCCCUUCUUCACCUUAAAAUUCAAAGGGGACAUGUUAUAUUAACCAAUAUAUUAUCACAUUCCAGAGAUACAAUAAGAAUCUUGACCAAUAACUUUCAGAGCAAUAAUACAUGAUGAUUGGGGAAAUUUGGGGGCGAAUAUCUCAACUCCUAACUUAAACCCAACCUAAACAGAAUUCCCUCUCGUAGAUCCCCUCAUAGCUCGAAUUGAGCGCUCAAACAUCAAUGGUUUCCAACAUCUAUUAUGACAGACAGCGGGUAUCUGGUUACAUUUCUGCACAAAUAGUGAUACUCGUUCCCUAAAUUUCUCAUCGAUAAGAGCAAGGAACGCGAAAUCCGACUAAAUGUUUCCCAGAAAUGAAGGGAUCAGGUGAGGGGCGUCGGGAUACCAUAGAGAACGUCUCGCCGAGGGAUCCGAAGGCGAAGCGGUGGUCGGGGCACAUGGUGAGCUUGCUGUGGACGAAGAGCAGCAGGGCCUGCUUGAUCGCGUCCAUCCGCCUGACCGCGGUCCGGGGCACCGCCGCGGGGGCACCCCCGACGGCCCCCGCGGGCUGCGUCGGCUGCGGCGACGCGGUGGAGGUGGAGCCCGAGGACGCCGCCGCCGCGGACUUCAUCUCCGCGCGCGCCUCCAGGUCGACGUCGACGCAGAAGAGGAUAUCCUCCGCGGGGAGGCGGCCCGGCGGCAGCGAGUAGCGCGGCGCCGGCGGGGCGUCCGUCGCCAUCUGGACAGCAGCGGGUGGUGGGCUGGGGACCUCCGUGGGCUGGCUGGCCGGCUGGGUGGGGGAAGGGUGGGUUCGGUUUCGGUCAGGCAGGCGGUCUGGGAAAUGGCUUCCGAUCGUGGUGGGUGCGGUGAAUCAGGGAAACUCGCAAAGGUCGGCUACUCUACACUCGCAAAGUCAGGCCAAGAUGGCAGGAAGCGCUGGCUGCUAAACCAGAAAAGGAAAAAAAAAACUGGGGGGAUUUUGGAGGAGAAAGAUACUACUCUCUCGCUCGGUUUUAAAUGAUAAGUCAUUUCAGAAAUUUUGAAAGUUAAAAUAUCUUAAAUUUGACUAAAUUUAUAUAGUAGCAUAAUAACAUUAUGAUAUCAACUAAAUAUUAUUAGGUUCUUUAUUAAUUAUAUUUUCAUAGUAUAUCUAUUUGAUGCUACAAAACUUUGUAAUUUUUUCUAUAAUUUUAGUCAAACUUGAGAUACUUUGACUCUCCAAUAUCCUUAGAAUAACUUAUAAUUUGGGAUAGGAGUAAUGUUUUCUUCGAUGUGUUAUAUACACCGAGGUAAAGCCACUCCUUGUUGUCACCUGAAUUUCUGAUCCCCGGUUCUUCUCCUUCUCUGCAUGUUAUACAAGAGCGAACGACCGCUCUUCAUGUUGUUGGUCUCGCUUAGCCACGACUACGCCACCGACAUCUUGCCCAAGGAUAUGGCACUCUCACCAAACUCCAAGGACACGACUACCUAUCGCUUUGCCAUAGCAGAAAGUAAGAUCCGGUCAUCUUCUUCCACAACAAUGGCUUCAUCAUUAGAUCGCCUAGGUCCACUGUAUACCACCGCCUACUUAACCUCCCUGUUGCCGCCUAUCGAACAUCAUCGUGGACUACCGCGGUAUUGCCUCGUGCCAAGGCACACCAUCUUUGUCGCUUAUGAGGACUUCCUCACAACCCUCAAGUGGGCGUUGUCCCAUGGCAAAUCAUGGCUCAUCACGCAUGGUGUCCCUAGUCCUCCAACCACAUAUUCCUCAUUGGCAAUAAUAAUGCUUGAGAAACGUGCCACCACCUCGCCAUACGCUCAGACAUCUAAGACGCUAGGUUCAGAGGCAUCAUGCUCAUCCACCCGUGGUUUUCGUGGCAAAAAGCUCAUGGAUGGUGAGUCAUAGAACCCCUUGAAGCACAACAGAAGGGCCCUAGGCAUGGUAGCCGUCGUGGAUCACUCAUGAAUAUACUCGAUGAUGUGGGGCAUGUGAGGCCUAGGAUAACUUGUUUGUGCUCCACUUGCCUGCCAAUGAGCAAUCAGGCAAGGCCGGUGUUGUUCACGAACAUGCAAAUGAGGGCUAGGAAGAGGAGGAGGAUACAUAGGUGCAAGGCCUGUCGUAGGGAGGAGGCUGGGAUUAGUUAUGAAAAAACAAACGGGAAUGGGUGGGGAAAACCCUAUGUGUUUGAUCUUAUGAGUUUUUUUUAUGAAAAAGGAGUCGAGUUUGGAAAAUCCAGGUUUGGAAACAAAAUCGACAUGUACAAGUGUAUGGAAAUGAACCAAUAUGACCGGACAUUCAGUAGAAACGGUUGGAAGCAGGUAACUUGAAGCCAAAAUAUUGCACAUGUUUAUAUUCACAAGUCACAAUGACAGACAAAACUCAUAAGUUCACAGGUUAAACCUUUUGCAAAGAAAAA